AUUUUUGAUGAGCUUUGUUAUGUAGGUGAGUUGCCUCCAUGGAAACUUCCAUAGAACAAUUCCUUGUCAACAUGUACAGGCCUUCGGAUGGACUGCACCACACAGUAAAACAUGACUGCAUCUGUCCCGAAAGGGCCUGAAGGCAACAUUCAAAACAGCCCCUUCAAACUGAACUGAUUACAGAGGAAGUUAUUAGAUGAGAACAAAGUAAAAACGGUAGAAGAGCCUGAAGAGUGUGAGUGUAAGAUAAGAGGGCAUACUUCAGUGAGGAGCAGAGCUCUGGGAAAAGGGAAAGAAGUAUGGACAAGGAGUCUCUGCUGUGAGGAACACUGCUGCAGUCUGCCGAGGAUCUGUCAAUUGCUCCAGCCUGCAAUACCACACACUGCUGACUGACAGAACUGCUCCAGAGCUGCAAACCAGGAGCAGGGUGCUCAUUAAGAGGUGGUCAUCACACACUUGUCAUCAGUCUCUGCAGGGAUUUUUUCUCAAAUACACUGAUAAUAGGUUGACUGGACCAUACUGUUCAGUGUAGUUCUGGCUUGCAUUUGUGAAUUAUUCUGUCCAGUAUCUCUGUAUUGGAGAGAAACACUUGUGAAGCAUUCCUCCAUUUUUCCUUUGUUUACUGAGGGAAGAAGAAUGCUUUAUUAUUGUAUUUUCCAUCUGGAUUUUUCCCAAUUUGUGUACCAGUCCUUAAGUGAACAUCUCCCUCUUAUAAUAAAUUCUGAAUGAUAUCUGUGAAAUACUGAACU
rnacentral:lncRNA from 1 species